CCGGACGCGAGGGAGCGCUAGCAAACAAUGUGCCUUCGCUUUCUGUCUAGAAAACACGGUUAUGAAGACACCUCUGGCUGCAGAGCCUCGGGUCGCAGACCCCUGUAGACAACACAUAAUGGAAGAAAAAGAAAAGGCUCUUGUGAGCUCUGACUUCCUGGCAACAACAGCCACCACCAAAGCUGUACAACCUGCUCCCUGUGGAGAGGAAGAGUUGUGGUUUGCAUCACAGCAGGAAUUCAUUCAAUGAGGCUAAAACCAUCCUAAUUUGCAGUAUUCAUCUUGAUAUUAAGGUGUGAGGGACCAUGUCUCCAUAACCAAUGGACAGGAAAGUGAUGGAGAUCAACCACAUUGCUCCUAGGAAGGUGCUUGUUACUUCCUGGGCAUCAUGAUACCUGCUGAGACAAGACACCAUUGGCUGUAGCACAUUAAAGGUCUGGAUAGAGGUUUACAUAGACUCAUCAUGGACAUGGAUGUCAAGUGCAUUGGAAUAGAUCAUUUUACAGGGUGGAAGCAUUUGCAACACGAAGCUUUGAUGUAUUUAGAUAAAAACUUAAUGCAGAUGUUUUGAUUUAUUUGGAUUUUUUUCUAAUUCAAAAAUGGUCAAAACUAUACAUACACCCCAACUAAGAUUUGGUUUAAUGUUCCUCAGCAAGCUGCACCUUGACCACAUACAUACAAUUCUGGCUAAAUAUUUGAUAAAUCUUCUUGGAGUUGAUUUAAAGUGGCCAGUUUCAUGCUACAGACCCAGCUUUUAAGCAUAGUUCACAAAUUAACAUGGUGGAGGCUGGGAUUUAGGAAACUGAAUGUAACUCUUCCAAAGCUAGGCUUGAUGUGUGUUUGGGAUCAUUGUCCUCUUGUAAAACCUAAAUGUGUUCAAGUUUUAACCAUCUGACCCAAAUUGUCACCCUUAGAAAACAGGAAAUUGGUUAGGAUGUCCAAGGACAACCCAGGAAUUACCGGGAUUCAAACCUGCCAUCAACAAGAAACUUCUAGAACAUCUUUAUCACUAUUCACAUUGAAGCUGGUUUUGCAUCACAAACUGGCCAUUACCCAUAAGGACAAGCCAAAUGCCAUCUGGAGAAAGGUUUCAUGCCUAGGUGAGACACUGAGCUAUUUAGGCACAAUAAUAUGGAGUAUGUUUUGGUGAAGCCAUGGUGAGGUUUUGAAAACUACAAACAUUGUUCCAGCUGUCAAGCAUGGGGGUGGUAGCACCAUGCUGUGGAGCAGUUUUGUUGUUGCACAAAGUCAAUUGAUAAUUAAGAUGGGAAGCUAUCUAUGUUUUCAGCUUCAACUGAAAUCAACUGUUAGUUCAUUGAAACCUAGACAUAAUUGGGUGUUUCAAAGCUCAAAAGCUUUUGGAAUACAGCAGGCUAACAUUAACCUUCUAGAAUAAUCCUGUCCUGAACCCUGUUGAAAAUGUAUGAGUAAAGCUUGAAAGGCUGGUUUGUGCCAGAAAACCAACUAAAAACCUGAUUAGAAAGGUAGUCAAACAAACAGUCAGAAAUAUACUAGAAGCUUGAUGAAGACUACAAAAGGCUUGCGGUCGAGGUGGACUUUGCAAAGGGACGUUUGCUCCAAUAUUAGUGAGCGAGCAUGUAUAAUUUUGACGUUGAAAUGUAUCAGUAAGAAAUUAAAAACUUCUAAGAUA